UACGUAGGGGGCAAGCGUUGUCCGGAAUCAUUGGGCGUAAAGAGCGUGUAGGCGGUCCGUUAAGUCGGCUGUGAAAGUCCAAGGCUCAACCUUGGGAUGCCGGUCGAUACUGCCGGACUAGAGUUCGGAAGAGGCGAGUGGAAUUCCUGGUGUAGCGGUGAAAUGCGCAGAUAUCAGGAGGAACACCAAUGGCGAAGGCGGCUUUCUGGGCCUUACCUGACGCUGAGACGCGAAAGCGUGGGGAGCGAACCGG
rnacentral:rRNA from 1 species